rnacentral:pre_miRNA from 1 species
GGAUCCACAGGGAGGUAUCCCAAUCCAACCUUAGAAAAAGAAAUCUGCCACAGGAGUCUUGGAGAUAGGAGACUGUCCUAAUGACUUA